AACGAACGCUGGCGGCAGGCCUAACACAUGCAAGUCGAGCGCUCUAGCAAUAGGGAGCGGCGCACGGGUGAGUAACGCGUAGGAAUCUACCUUGUAGUACGGAACAACAGUUGGAAACGACUGCUAAUACCGUAUACGCCCUUCGGGGGAAAGAAUUUCGCUAUAAGAUGAGCCUGCGUUAGAUUAGCUAGUUGGUGAGGUAAUGGCUCACCAAGGCUCCGAUCUAUAGCUGGUCUGAGAGGAUGAUCAGCCACACUGGGACUGAGACACGGCCCAGACUCCUACGGGAGGCAGCAGUGGGGAAUAUUGGGCAAUGGGCGCAAGCCUGACCCAGCCAUGCCGCGUGAGUGAUGACGGCCUUAGGGUUGUAAAGCUCUUUUAGUGGUGAGGAUGAUGACGGUAACCACAGAAAAAGCCCCGGCUAACUUCGUGCCAGCAGCCGCAGUAA
rnacentral:rRNA from 1 species